rnacentral:rRNA from 1 species
UUAAGCGACUAAGCGUACACGGUGGAUGCCCUGGCAGUCAGAGGCGAUGAAGGACGUGCUAAUCUGCGAUAAGCGUCGGUAAGGUGAUAUGAACCGUUAUAACCGGCGAUUUCCGAAUGGGGAAACCCAGUGUGUUUCGACACACUAUCAUUAACUGAAUCCAUAGGUUAAUGAGGCGAACCGGGGGAACUGAAACAUCUAAGUACCCCGAGGAAAAGAAAUCAACCGAGAUUCCCCCAGUAGCGGCGAGCGAACGGGGAGGAGCCCAGAGCCUGAAUCAGUGUGUGUGUUAGUGGAAGCGUCUGGAAAGGCGCGCGAUACAGGGUGACAGCCCCGUACACAAAAAUGCACAUGCUGUGAGCUCGAUGAGUAGGGCGGGACACGUGGUAUCCUGUCUGAAUAUGGGGGGACCAUCCUCCAAGGCUAAAUACUCCUGACUGACCGAUAGUGAACCAGUACCGUGAGGGAAAGGCGAAAAGAACCCCGGCGAGGGGAGUGAAAAAGAACCUGAAACCGUGUACGUACAAGCAGUGGGAGCACAGAGCAAUCUGUGUGACUGCGUACCUUUUGUAUAAUGGGUCAGCGACUUAUAUUCUGUAGCAAGGUUAACCGAAUAGGGGAGCCGAAGGGAAACCGAGUCUUAACUGGGCGUUAAGUUGCAGGGUAUAGACCCGAAACCCGGUGAUCUAGCCAUGGGCAGGUUGAAGGUUGGGUAACACUAACUGGAGGACCGAACCGACUAAUGUUGAAAAAUUAGCGGAUGACUUGUGGCUGGGGGUGAAAGGCCAAUCAAACCGGGAGAUAGCUGGUUCUCCCCGAAAGCUAUUUAGGUAGCGCCUCGUGAAUUCAUCUCCGGGGGUAGAGCACUGUUUCGGCAAGGGGGUCAUCCCGACUUACCAACCCGAUGCAAACUGCGAAUACCGGAGAAUGUUAUCACGGGAGACACACGGCGGGUGCUAACGUCCGUCGUGAAGAGGGAAACAAC